UACGGGGGGGGCAAGCGUUGUUCGGAAUUACUGGGCGUAAAGGGUUCGUAGGUGGCUUGCUAAGUCAGACGUGAAAUCCCUCAGCUUAACUGGGGAACUGCGUCUGAUACUGGCGAGCUUGAGUGCAGGAGAGGAACGCAGAAUUCCAGGUGUAGCGGUGAAAUGCGUAGAUAUCUGGAGGAACACCGGUGGCGAAGGCGGUUCUCUGGGCAUGAUCUGACGCUGAGGAGCGAAAGUGUGGGGAGCGAACAGG
rnacentral:rRNA from 1 species